rnacentral:rRNA from 1 species
GCUCUAGUGAUCCGGCGGCUCAGAGUGGAAUGGCCGUCGCUCAACGGAUAAAAGGUACUCCGGGGAUAACAGGCUGAUCCUCCCCAAGAGUCCACAUCGACGGGAGGGUUUGGCACCUCGAUGUCGGCUCAUCGCAUCCUGGGGCUGGAGUAGGUCCCAAGGGUAUGGCUGUUCGCCAUUUAAAGCGGUACGCGAGCUGGGUUUAGAACGUCGUGAGACAGUUCGGUCCCUAUCCUCCGUGGGCGUAAGAGACUUGAGGAAGGCUGCUCCUAGUACGAGAGGACCGGAGCGGACGAACCUCUGGUGUACCAGUUGUCGACCAACGGCACCGCUGGUUAGCUACGUUCGGUCGGGAUAACCGCUGAAAGCAUCUAAGCGGGAAGCCCAUUCCAAGAUGAGGUCUCUCACUGGGUUAACCAGGUAAGGCCCGUCGUAGACUACGACGUUGAUAGGCCGCAGGUGUAAGUGCAGCAAUGCAUUCAGCCGAGCGGUACUAAUAGGCCGAGGUCUUGAUCUCAUUC